CAGUUUAACCCAGAAGUUUUCAACCUUUUAUAUGCCAAACAUGAUUAUCCUUGUAUGACGGACCCCCAUCCUGAAAUUUAAAAGAAGUAGUUUUGUGUAUAAAGACCCAAUUUAUACUAAGAAAUAAUAACAUUAUUAAUGUUUUAAUAUUUUUAAUAAAUAUAUUCAUUAUGUACGGUUAUGGUACUGUAUUUGUUUUCACUAAAUGUUUUAUUUACUUAUGUUUAUUUUAAUCUAAUGUUUAUUUAAUCUGUGUUAUUAAUAUCUUAAUUUUUAUUAUUUAUUUUACUUUUUUUUUUUGUUUUGUUUACACCUUUUCUCUAGUCAUAUCAAGUCAAGUCACCUUUAUUUAUAUAGCACUUUUUACAAUGCAGAUUGUGUCAAAGCAGCUUUACAGUGAUAGAGGGAACACAAUUUUGGCUGUACAGCAGCUCUAGAAGAAAAUGGUGUCAUUGUCCAGCUUAACAUGUUCGAAUUCCCACGCUUUUGCAAAGUUACUGAACUCUGUGCUGGCACACUGUGGACCAUUGUCCGAGACUACAUCUGGUACACCAUGCCUCAGAAACAUAGAUUUCACGGAAUGAACAAACGAGGCGUGCGGAUCCAUAUGCUGUCUUUAUUUAAUCAGAGACGUGGUAAAUAACAGGCUUGGGUCGGCAACAGCAAACAGGUAUAAAGCAGGCUAGACAAAGAGUAUUCCCGGGACAAGCGUGGACGACCAGUGGCAAACAAUAUCCAGAAGGUGUAGGCUAGAGAAUAAUUCAGAGAAAAGAGAGGUGCUAACAGAGUCCAAACGAGAGGGAAGUCCAAAGUACGAGGGCAAGAAUCCAAACACGGGAAAAUCAGACAAGGCUAAACUAAGGGUAUACACAAAAAAACUAGCACUGGCUCCAUAGAUGCAGCUAUAAGGAUGUCAUCGAUGACGUUGACCACACCUUCAAGAACUCUAACAUCUGUGCGACCGCAUGCUGGAAGAUUUCACUGGCUGAAGACACACCAAAUGGUAAGCGAAGAAAUCUAUACCUCCCUAUUGGUAUGUUGAAUGUGCAGAGUUUAUUUGCCAGAAUCCCUGAUUAGCGUCCAGUACUGAGAAUAUCUUUGUAUUUGGCAUGCUGGAUAUCACUUCUUCCACUGUCAGUAGAGGGUAAUGUUCGUGCUUUAUUGCUUUAUUAAGGUCUUGUGGAUCCACACAUAUAUUGUUCUGUUUCAGCACUGUUACCAUGCUAUUCACCCAGUCUGUCAAUUCUGUUUACUUUGCUAUUACACCCAUGCUUUCCAUCUUGUGUAGCUCUUCAGUUAUUUUGUCCUUGAGUGCUACAGGAUCCUUUCUGGUGGAUGAAUCACUGGUGAUACAUUGGGGUUUGUUUUGAUGUGAUGCUCGAUUGGCAAGCAACCAAGAACAAGUCGUCAAAGUCUUUUAAGGGGUCAUCUUUAGUCUUUAUUUCAUAUUUUCUUCUCAUCAUCCCUAAUUAUUCAGAGGUUGUGAAUCCAAGAAUUGCAGGUAUGUUGCCACUUGAAAUAGAAUAUAGUGCUUUUGGUUUCUGUAGGUGAAGGUAAGUUGAACUUGUCCCACAGGUGACAUCUUGUGGCCAGAAUAUAUAUAAUAAUAUAUAUAAUGUAAUUAAGUGACAGGUGGAGUUUUCUUUGAGAUUCCAGUGACUUGAAUACAUUGUUGGGUAUUAAAUUACAUGCAGCCCCUGUGUCUAAUUUAAAUGUAAUGUUCUUGUUGUUCAAUUUCAGGUUUUCAGUCCAUUUGUCUUUUUGACUUUGUGCACAUCAAUGGUUCUAACAAAGAAAUCAUCUUGUUCAUCACUUUGUUCACCUUGUUCUAUAGAGUACCUCAGGGAUGAUGUGUUUUUGUAGGCCGACCCGGAAGUUAGCGGCGCACGGGUUCCAUCGAUCGAAAGCCAAUGCAUUUUUCCCAUAGACUUUUGGAAAAUUGAAAAAAAUAAGCUCUGUGUUUAACAAAGGGUUAUGACACUUACACGUUUUGUCUAUCAAGAUAAUCUUUACAAGUUAACACAACAUUUAUACAUUUUGAAGCCUAAAUAAAGCUAACAGUAGGCUAUAAACGGACUACAGCACACCAUGGUCACGGAUCAACGUCACCACCACUGAGCUUCCUCAAACUUUAUUUAGAAAACAACUUUAUUUAAAAACAUGCUCGUUGAUUAUGAUCUGCGCUGUGUAUGAAUACUUAUCCACUUUUUCAUGAGAAAUGUUGUCCAAAUGUCCUGUUUGUCAUGAUGAUGUCUAAAGUCCCCGCCAAAGGAAGUAGUCCCUUUUAGCAACUUGUUAGCAACUGCCGUUUUUAAGACACAAUAAAGGUUUAAAAAAAUCACAAGCGGGUUAUAACUGGUGUGUUUUAUGUCAUAGAUCAAAACGUGAAAAUAUUUAGAGGCUUUGUUAACCACAGACCUUAUUUCAGGCAAUUUAGCAAAAACCCAUUCAAAAAACCCACUGACUUUUACGGCGAUGGAACCGGAAGUCCUAAAAUGCUCGCUUCCGGGUUUUGCCUACAAAAACAAGAUUUUCAUCUGAUUUGAAGUUAACUCAUUGGCCAGGCAGGUAUCAAAUGAAUUUUAAUCUGGUGAUUGAAUUGUGUUGUAGAAUUUGUUUGUCACUUCUGUAAAUAACCAAACUGAUUAAACAGGAGCGACAUUCGUAUUAUCUCUGUUCGCUGUUCUUCCUCCAGACUCCAGCAUGGAUGAAACUCCAGGGAGUUCUGCUGGAUUCGGCAUCAUCGUCAAGAGUAGGGAGGAUGGUGGAAAGUAUCACAUGGCUAACCUCCGGCCCGGUCCGCUCUGGUCUGAUGGGUUUGUCUGCUAGAUUACCACCCCAUCAUUGCCUGCGUUUAGUCUUAAACACGACCCGAAUCACAUCGGGUCAGUUUGUUGAUCGUUCCAACCCGCUAACAGGUCGACCUCACCGAAACACACUCUUAAAAGGACUCAAAUGCAUUACCCAAAAUUUUACAUUCAAACCCUCGAAAAAUAGAUGAGAUAUCCAUGAAUAAACUGCUGCAAAUGGUCAGUGUUCAACGAUGGCAUCAUGGUAGAUGGCUAAACAUUACAGCGAGAACCUGCUGCAGAGAUGUGGGAAUUAUAAAUGGGUGAAAAGCAGAGAUGAGACAUCAGACCUCAGCCAGUGGAUGCAGAGUUUAGAAAUAACAGACAGGAAAAAGGAACAAACCACAGAGCGACACUGGAACGACUCUGGUGGGCGUGGCAUCGGGGUGGAGUCUUUAUGUAAAUGGGAGGGGCAAACGAGGAGAGACCGACGCCCACACUUCCUGCCGCCCAUCACACAAAGCGACUGCUUGCUUAACGUCCUUCUGCUCCUUACAGACAAUUCCCCGCCCCCGUCGCCCUGCUCUCCGUCGGACAUCCUGUUCUUUCCUCUAUCUGUUCCUCACAUCCAGCCUUUUCUCAGAGAGAGGAGAGGAGCCGCACCAGCUCAACAUGACUGACACUGUCUAUCACUGACUGCAAGAGAAUCUUCAUGUGUGAAAUAUACAGGCAAACGUUUGGACACACCUUAUUGUUCUUUAUUAUAUUUCUUCCAUAUUAUGUUAGUCAACGGGGAUCAGAGACUGUUUGAUUACCAGCAUUCUUCGAAAUAUCUUUUGUGUUCAACAGAAGAAAGAAACUCAUACAGGUUUGGAUCAUCAUGAAGGAGAGUAAAUGAUGACAGAAUUUUCAUUUUUGGGUGAACUAGGUACUAGGACCGUUACUGUUCACUGUUGCUGUUCACUCUGUACAUGCUACCCUUGGGAGAUAUCAUUAGGAAGCAUGGCGUUAGUUUUCACUGUUACGCUGAUGAUACUCAGCUCUAUAUUUCUUCGCGCCCUGACGAAACUUACCAAUUCACAAAAUUAACGGAAUGCAUAGCUGAUAUAAAAAAUUGGAUGACCAGUAAUUUCCUACUACUAAAUUCAGAAAAAACAGAGAUUCUAAUUUUUGGACCAAAAACUUCUUCACGUAAUAACCUAGAAUACUGUCUAACACUUGAUGGCUGCUCUGUUAAGUCUUCGUCGUCAGUUAGGAACCUGGGUGUGCUCUUUGAUACCAAUCUUUCAUUUGAAGGCCAUGUUACUAGCAUCUGUAAAACCGCAUUCUUCCAUCUUAAAAAUAUAUCUAAACUACGACAUAUGCUCUCAAUGAAAAAUGCAGAACAGUUAGUUCAUGCGUUCAUGACCUCAAGGCUAGAUUACUGUAACGCUCUACUGGGUGGUUGUUCUGCUCGCCUGAUAAAUAAACUACAGCUCAUACAAAAUGCAGCAGCUAGAGUUCUUACUAGAACCAGGAAAUAUGACCAUAUUAGCCCAGUUCUGUCAAUACUGCAUUGGCUUCCUGUUAAACAUCGUAUAGAUUUUAAAAUCUUGCUAAUUACUUACAAAGCACUAAAUGGUUUAGCUCCCCAGUACCUGAGCGAGCUCCUAAUUCAUUAUAGUCCUUCACGUCUAUUGCGAUCUCAGAAUUCAGGCCAGCUGAUAAUACCUAGAAUAUCAAAAUCAACUGCAGGUGGUAGAUCCUUCUCCUAUUUGGCACCUAAACUCUGGAACAAUCUUCCUAGCAUUGUUCGGGAAGCAGACACACUCUGUCAGUUUAAAUCUAGACUAAAAACGCAUUUCUUUAACCUGGCAUACACAUAAUACAUUACCAAUUUAUAUUUUCAAAUCCGUUAAAGGAUUAUUAGGCUGCAUAAAUUAGGUCAGCCGGAACCGGGAACACUUCCUAUAACACCUGAUGUACUCGCUACAUCAGAAGAAGAAUGGCAUCUACGCUAAUAUUAGUCUUUCUGUUUAUCCCGAGGUUCACCGUAGUCAGCCGGAUCCGGGCCGUAUCCAGGUGAGACCAAGGACCUGCACCUUGACACGACCACAACGCAGCCCUGACGUAUCAGCAGAGAUUGAGUCAACUAGAUCAUCCCCUGUGAAGGCCUCAUCGACACGACAGCCACGACACAGUUCCUCAACAACCGUCCAUACCGGCGUGAUCCUCAAUACGAUCCUCAAUUGGAUGGAGCUGAAAUAAAUACUUUUAAUGUUGCGAUCCUAUUGGACUUAUGAUAGCAACCUGAAUUGUAACAAAGCACUGUUGGCCAGAGGAGAACUGGCACCCCGACUAAGCCUGGUUUCUCCCAAGGUUUUUUUCUCCAUUUUAACACCAAUUUGCCACUUGUCUGCCACCUGAUGUCACCUGAUGGAGUUUGGGUUCCUUGCCGCUGUCGCCUCUGGCUUGCUUAGUUGGGGACACUUGACUUGACAUUUGAUAUUCAACAGUGCUUUGAUCUGCCUGCAUUGACACUAUUCUUUAAGAGCUGCUGUGCAGCCAAACAAUGUACCAGUUAUCAAUGUAAAGCUGCUUUGACACAAUCUGCAUUGUAAAAAGCGCUAUAUAAAUAAAGGUGACUUGACUUGACUGACUGAA